rnacentral:rRNA from 1 species
UACGGAGGUGGCAAGCGUUGCUCGGAAUCACUGGGCGUAAAGGGCGCGUAGGCGGGGUGGUAAGUCGGGUGUGAAAUCCCUCGGCCCAACCGAGGAACUGCGCCCGAGACUGCUUCGCUUGAGUCCCGGAGAGGAAGAUGGAAUUCCCGGUGUAGCGGUGAAAUGCGCAGAUAUCAGGAGGAACACCGGUGGCGAAGGCGGUUCUCUGGGCAUUACCUGACGCUGAGGAGCGAAAGUGUGGGGAGCGAACAGG